CACAGUCUGCUGUGAUCCGAAGCGGUUCUGUCAAAAAUUUUCUCAUUACCUUCCGCGUAGUCUGCGGCGUAAGCGCUGCCCGCAUGAUCCAUAAUAAUUCGUUUCUGCCGGUGAAUGUGAAAUUAAAUUAUUUAUGUGUGCAUUGCCGUCUAAUCAAGUAAUAAACAAAGGAAAUAAUAAAACACCCCAGGAAUUGUGAAAAAAGAACUAUAGGAUUGACCGAUGUGGACCUAUCUAAUGGCAGAUAUGCUUGCGAGGCGGCGCACGAUAGAAGCAAUCUGGCGAAUUUGUGAUACGGCAUUGUAUAGAAUUGCCGAGCUGCGGAGCCAUCUUCGAACCCAUGCGGAUCCGAAAUCUUUUGCCGACGUUAACGUUCGCAUUUACAAUAGACGUCCUUCACAGCAAGACCGAGAACGGAACCUUUGGGCUAAAUGCCUGAUUUAUCCAGGCUCGAUUCCAGGGCUUCCAUCGGUCGAUGUUCAAUGCAGCUGGUUCCAUUUGCUGUCACACUCGUCGAUCUCUGUGUGUUUACAGAAAACAUAUUCAAGAAUUAUUGUAUGAAGCGAACAUUUAAAUAUAAUUUAUUAUUUGAAAACAUUAAAUAAAAAGAAAAAUUGCU